rnacentral:rRNA from 1 species
GACGAACGCUGGCGGCGUGCCUAAUACAUGCAAGUCGAACGGAAAGGCCCUGCUUUUGUGGGGUGCUCGAGUGGCGAACGGGUGAGUAACACGCGAGUAACCUGCCCUUGUCUUUGGGAUAACUUCAGGAAACUGGGGCUAAUACCGGAUAGGAGCUCCUGCUGCAUGGUGGGGGUUGGAAAGUUUCGGCGGUUGGGGAUGGACUCGCGGCUUAUCGGCUUGUUGGUGGGGUAGUGGCGUACCAAGGCUUUGACGGGUAGCCGGCCUGGGAGGGUGACCGGGCACAUGAGGACUAAGAUAGGGCCCAGACUCCAACGUGAGGCAACGGUGGAGAACAUGGCGGAAUAGGCGGGAGCCUGAUGCAGCGACGCCGCGUGCGGAAUGACGGCCUUCGGGGUAUGAACCGCUUUCGCCUGUAACGAAGCGUGAGUGACGGUAAUGAGUAAGAAAGCACCGGCUAACUACGUG